CCUCUUGAAUUCUGUCAGAAAUCGAGCUUUGGUCGAUUUUGCAUAUUCUGGUUUCAUUCCUUUGGAAGUUGAUAUCCUUUAGCUUUCUUAUUCAAUUGAGCUUUAUAUUAUUGCUUUGAAUUCUUGUCUGCUCUUGUCCUUAAAAUUAUUUGCAUUCUUGAAAACUAUUAUGUAACGUUUAUGCUAUAUCGUAUUGACUCAUAUAGGCACAUGUGUAUCCCAUUGUUCCGCAUUUGCUUUCGAUAUGUGCUUAUUCCAUUUCAUUCCUUUGGACAUUGAAUUCAUCUAACCUUCUUAUUUGAAUUGAGUUAUAUGUGAUUGCUUGGAAUCCUUGAAUGCUCUUGCUUUCAUUUCCUUUCAAAUCU
rnacentral:lncRNA from 1 species